rnacentral:lncRNA from 1 species
UGAGAAGACCAACAUUUGGGUUACUUGUUUCUACUCUUGUUCUUCUGCUUGUUAUUGUUGCCUCUGCAGCCAUUGAUCACACACGUGUUGUCAUACAAAAACUGGGUUUCCGAUGGCGCCAGUGUCAAGGUCUUCCAACAACUCCGGGUCUUCCAGCGACUUCAAGUCUUCCAAUAAUCUCAAGGUCUUCCGGAUAAUCCUGAGCUUCCAGAAAAUCCACAUCUUCCAGACAAUCCAUGUCUUCCGGACAAUCCAUGUCUUCCAAGAAGCUCCAAGUCUUCCAGCAAAUCCAGUCUUCCAGCAAUUAUAGGUCUUCCACCAAAUCCAGAUCUUCCAGGAAAAUCCACGUCUUCCAGGAAAUCCAUGUCUUCCAAUAAUUUCAAGGUCUUCCAUCAAAUACAGAUCUUCCAGCUAAUCCAUGUCUUCCAGAAAAAUCU